GGGGACGUAACAAAGCGACCCAGGAAUACUUGGGCGUGCCUCCACCCACGCCGGCGUCGGCGGGCGUAUUUCGCCUCACAGUAGGUCGCCGCGACCCGUUGCUUUUGGGGACGUCGAAGGCCCGGACGGAUUGGUACCCUACCGGCUGGGGAUGCGGCUUCGGCUUCUCCUCUUGUCCGGUGGGCGAAACCGCCGGUGUCCUGGCUGCCCUGCGACGGUCGUAGAGACGAGCCCCUCCCAUUCGUGGGGGGCGGCUCUCGCGGCGUGCAAAAGGUCGGUGAUCCACCCGACCCGUCUUGAAACACGGACCAAGGAGUCUAACAUGUGUGCGAGUCAGUGGGCGCACUAAACCCAGAGGCGUAAUGAAAGUGACACGGGUUCGGCUGUCGCCUCGUGUGGCAGCCGGACUCAGGGCCGAUCCCUCACCGGUUGCCCUCGCCUCUCUCCCGCGUCUCGGUAAGCCGGGUGAGCUAUUUUCCCCGGCCGCUGCUGCGGGGCUCGGGGGGAGGCGGGGUGCGAUGGUGUCCGUAAAAAAGAGCCUGCUGUUGCAGGGGGGCGCAGGCCCGGGACUUGCCAGGACGCCGCGAGACUGUCACUUUGCUGUGAGGCUCCAGGGUCGAUCAGCGGGUCAUGCGUGCAGUCGGCAAGUACCAUGAGCAGACAUGUUGGGACCCGAAAGAUGGUGAACUAUGCCUGGCCAGGAUGAAGCCAGAGGAAACUCUGGUGGAGGUCCGUAGCGAUUCUGACGUGCAAAUCGAUCGUCGGAGCUGGGUAUAGGGGCGA
rnacentral:rRNA from 1 species